rnacentral:rRNA from 1 species
GACGAACGCUGGCGGCGUGCCUAACACAUGCAAGUCAAGGGUGUAGCAAUACACACUGGCGAACGGGUGAGUAACGCGUAGGUUACCUGCCCUUAUCCCCGACACAACUCAGAGAAAUUUGAGCUAAUAUCGGAUGAGGCAUUUCGAUGUCAAAGGAGCAAUCUGGAUAAGGAGGGGCCUGCGUCUGAUUAGUUAGUUGGUGGGGUAAUGGCCUACCAAGACAACGAUGCAUAUCCGAGCUGAGAGGCUGAUCGGACACACUGGGACUGAGACACGGCCCAGACUCCUACGGGAGACAGCAGUUAGGAAUAUUCGUCAAUGGGGGAAACCCUGAACGAGCAAUGCCGCGUGAGUGAUUAAGGUCUUAUAGAUUGUAAAACUCUGUUGUAAAGAAAGAAACCUUGAGAUAGGAAAUGAUCUCAAGCUGACGGUAACUUUACCACGAAAGACCCGGCCAACUAACUGUCCAGCAGCCGCGGUAAACGUAAGUCUACG